GGAGUUGACAGCUUGUUGACGGCUCUGCAGAAUUUGGACUCGUGCGUGCCCGCAGUUGCGACUGCAAAGCUGUUUCUGCUCAAAUUACCCCAGCCGUCUUAGGAACGCAGAAGCAGAGGGUUCUGUUCAUUUUUCCCACUUGAGAGUUCUGCAACUAACCCCAAGCCAUUAAUAACAAGUGACAGGCCAAAGUUUGAGGAAAUCUAUUUAUGCUCCCCAAAGAGCUAGGAUCGAUACUGCCAUUCUGUGGUGCAGGCCACCUAACCUUUUCAGUAAGAGCUUUGGGAAAGGAUGACUCUGAGAUGGCGGCAGGAGAACAGAAAGCAGCUGAGCCCCUGCCAGGGAAAGAAGAGGAAACAGAGAAGCCAUUGAUGCUGCGACCUUCUGAAACAAUGAGGAUGGCCUGUGAUAAUGACCUUGACCCUUAGGUUGUAGAUUUAGUGGAAUGGGGAGUGGAGGUGGAAACAGUGAGUCUCAAAAUCUCUGGUAUCACCUCCUCCAGGAAGUCACCCCUUAUACAACCCCACAUCCUGCCCAGACCAGAAGCCCCUCCUCAGUAUACCCAUAUUUCCCUGGGAAUACCUGUAAAAUUCUCUCUACAUAAAAUUCACGUUCAUUGAAAACAGGGAUCAUGUCCAGUUCACAUCCGAAUCCCAACCCAAACAAGUACCUGGUGUAGUCUCAAUAAUGCCUACUGAAACGUAUGAAUGAAUGAAUGAAUGAAUGCAUGAGAAUAUAUCAUCUAGUAGACCACAGAAUAUCAGGGUGCUAAUAUCCCAAGUAUUUAAUACAUUUCCUAGAAAUUUGCAAGGGAGAAUCAGCCAGGAGCAGUAAAUAGAACAUGGACUUUGGCAUCCAAGCAAACUCGGGUGCAAAUCUUGGCUCCACUAGCAAAGUGACUUCAACAAGCUCUUUAACCUCUUGGUCCCUCAGUUUCAUCAUCUGAGAAAUGGGAAUAACAUAAGGACUACCUUUUAGAGUUGCAACAAAAAUUAAAGAUAAGGUAUACUCAGUGCCUGGCACAUAAUUGGCACUCGGUACACUGUCUUGUAGCUGUUAUCAGUGUUAACCAACCCCCACCCCUCAAAGCUGAGGUAUUAUCAAGCCAGGACUGGAUAACUUCACAAGGUAUCCCAAGCUCAUUCUAAGAUAUCAGACCACUGAGAAGGUAACCCUAACCACAACUUCCCUCUUCCCAUCCUUCAAAGCAUAAUAAAUUCAAUAGGCCAUCAGUGAAAAUCCCCUCAAGGAAUGUGAACUGAUAAGCCAGGAAAGACAAGGACACUGCUUCUAUGUAAGCAGAAUUACAGAAAACAUGAAGUUGCCCAAAAUCCCAACACUAUGAAUCAGUCGGGAUAAGCUAGCUUGUGCUGCAAUAACAAGCAACUCCAAAAUCUCAAUGGAUGAAAAAAUCAUAGUAUAUAUUCUUGGCAAGACAGCAGGGGACUCUACUCAGAGAUCCAGGCUUAGUGAACAAUUAUCAUCUCAAACAUUGCUGAUCACCAGGGCCGGAGGGAAGAGAGCUCUAGAGAGUCUCGCGUUGGCAAUUAAAUGUCCAGUCUGUGGGUGACAUGGUCCCUGCAGAAAUCACUGACCUGAAUCAAUCAUUUGGCACCACCCAACCACAAAGGGGUCAGGAAGUGCAACCCUGCCAUGUGCCCAGAGUGGGAGGAAAGGGAAAUAUUGGUGAACUGCACUAGCGAGCCCUGCACACCACAAGAAAAGGAGAUAUCCAGCAAGCUCCAUCUAAACCAGCUCUGGAGAGCGGUGCCCAAGAUUACCAGAAGGCAAAGGAAUCAAACCCCUAACAGCUGGAUGGAAGGGGCCAUGACAAAAGAUAGCUUUGGUUUGCAUUUAGCAAAGGGUGAGAGAGAGCUCAGAAUUCCUCCCCAGCCCCUGCCCCUGCAUCCUUCUCUUUAAAACACUAACUGUAUUUGUACUGAGCAUUCACAUCAUACCACAAUACCCCCCAUGUUCAGAAAAAGCAAGACUGAACCCCUCAGAAAAUAAGGAUUCCAGCAUGGGGGUGAGAAAGUGCUUAUCUGCCUUGUUUGGGAGUGAGUUUAAAAAUGCGCAAAAAAUGCAGAAAUUCCUCUGGGCACAUUUCUCUGCCAGGUAUGGCUGAGAGUUGUUAACCACAGCAAAUCCCACCGGCUCUGCCAGGCUUACAAGGGAACGCAGGAAAGGACCUGGGUUUCUGGGUCAAGAUCAUUAGGGAGUUUAAUUAGCACCUUGGUUUCAGAAUCUGUGUGUAAUCCUGUCCCCUGAGGCCUACAUAAAAUAGUUGAGGGACCCCCAUUCCUGGCCAAAUGGGGAGUCCACUGCUCCCACGAUCUCUUCCAGCUCUUGGAGCUUACAUUCACAUGGGCCCUGAUUGAGCUGCUUCCUUUCUGACCGGUGUUCUUUGCCCCCACUUGCUAAUGGGAAACACAAGCAAGGCACAAAAGGAAGGAACUGCUUGGCAUGACCGUAACAGCAAGAGCGAGACUUGUGAGUCUUGAGAGGAGCCCGGAGAAGCCGGCUGGGGCCUGGCCUCAGAGGGUUUUGGGUUCCACAGCAGGAAGCUGGACUUCACCCAGCCCUUGGUGGAAAGCCAGGGGAGGGUUUUAAACAAGGAGAAGACAUGGUCAUAUGUGCACUUUAGAUGCAUCACGGUGCAACUGUACCUCCAGAAGCUGGCAAAGGAGACAAAAUGGAGAGAGAAAACCCACAGAAGGUCCUGCAGGGAUCGUGGUGAAGUACCAUGUCUCCUGACCUGGGGUCAGGAGGAGAGAGGGAGUGCUCGGGACCAAUUUCUGAAAUAAACUGAGAAUGUAAAGUCA